GACACUCCUCUUUAAUUUAAUAAGACUUUGACUUUGGUGAGGAUCGUUUCAGAGUCCAGGUAGCUUGAGCAGACAACAGGCUAAAGAAUUUUGAAAGCAUGUUCCGGUAUUAGAGUUCUCACAAGUGAUUUGUGCACUGCUGUUGUCACUUCCUCAGGCCUUCCCUGUUUCCUUGGGAACUAAGAAGGGAAUUAAUCUGGAAGUUCUAAAGCUAUGCACAAGACCUUAUAAGAUUUUUUUUUUCUAGAGAAUUGUCUUCAUCUACUCUUUGUCAUCUGUUCUAAGAAAUGACAGUUGAGAGCAAGAGUCAUUUGAAAAUUUUCCACCUCUUACUUUUGGUCUGUGUUGUAAUUAAUCAAGACACUUUUUAAACAAAAUUAAAUCCAGCAGUUAGACCUCGUGUUGGUUCAAUAUUCAACUCUCAUUUCCCAUUAACUAUAUUGUCUUCCUGCUGCCAUCUGGUGAAAAAAUUUGGGACAACAGCUGGUGAAUUCUUUACUUGAUUUGCAUUCUCAGGAAUAAUGUUCUUUGUAGUGACAUGAGCAUGAGAGAUGAGCCAAUAUGUUUGUAGUUGUAAGGUAACUACCCAACAAUUAAAAUAUUUUAGACAUUUUCUGUUUCUAAUGAGUACUUCUAGUUUUAUAGUUUAUAAUCAUAAUGAGCUGCUGAGAAGAAAAGGGGUGGAAUCAGGAAAGAUUUCUACAGUCUUUUUUAAUGUUUUAGUUUCAGCUUUUUUAGCAAAGAAUUUGGGAUCUAUAUUUAGUGUAGAGCUGCCUUAAUAUAGGAUUUCUCCCAUGUGACUUUAAUCUCCAUUGUUUUUUAGUUUAAAAGGACACUGUGAACUCACUGUUUUUAAAAUAAUGUACACUAUAUCAGCUAAGUGUCUUUUUCUGUAUACAUUUUUUUCUUUCUCUCUGAAAGACUGAAUGAAUUUUGAGAUUGGAUUUGGCAAAUAAACAUCUCUCGUUAGUAUUUUGAAGACUUCUGUAAAUCCCAUCCUGGAAACAUGUGUUUGUGGAAUAUGCUCACAGAAGCACCACUCAGGGGCACUCCAGACUUGGGCUAUUUUCAGCUUACCCAGAAUAGUAACAGCAGCUUCCAGGAAAGCUAAGGAGAUUAAGGAGAACUUUUGUACCUGAAGCAGCUCAUCCUCACAGGGGGAUGAGUUGGUCCAGGAUCACAUCUACUGUGCCAAUGGCAGUAGAACCGUAGAGGGAACAUCUGGACUUCAGCUGGAAGCGUACUUCCCAGCAUGGGUAGACAGACACACUAGCUCUGCUCAAGCUAGCAAGCAAAAAUAGCAGUGUAAGCAAGAGUGGCACAGAUGGCUAGUCAGGCUAACUAUCCAAGUACAAACCCACCUGAUCCCCCCUGGGUACAAACUCAGAUGGCUAACCUGAGCUGCUGCUGGUGCUACCCCCAGCUAUGCUGGUAUUCUUAGCACACUAGCUUGAACAGAACUAGUGUGUGUCUGUCUACUCGAGCUGGGAAGCAUGCUCCCAGCUGCAAUGUAGACAUAAGCACAGAAAGUAGUACUAAAGCAAGGCAUGGUCCAUGGUUGAUUAGGGAGGAGGGUCAGACAGUGUGGUACAAAAGGGAGUCCACAAAAACAGGACACACAUUUUUAUAGAGUACAUCUACAUUGCAGAUGGGAGCAUGCUUCUCAACUUGGGUAGACAGAAGCCUAGCUCACUAAAAAUAGCAUGAGGGUAGCAUGAGAUUACCCAUUCUGUAAAAGUUCUUGUCCCCCUGUUUUCACUGGUAGUAACUUGAACAGCUUUCUAUAUCAGAACAGCUUUCCGCUGCACUCUUUUGA